UUCAUCCGUACUGCCAUCAACACCAAUCACCAUUCGUCCAUCGAGAAACAAAUCAACGAUUCGUGUACCAGCGGCGCGCCAGCGGGAAGGUUUCGUGAACGUCGGCUGCGGCGGUGUUUUCAUGUGUGAGACAGACCGUGCUGAUGCCAUGCCGUCCGGCGGUCCAAGCUACGGCAGCCACUGCUGUGUGUCGUGGUGCUUUGACAACGGCAGAACCCAGAAGAAGCCUAUCUUGCCUUGGAAUAAAAACAUUGCGGAAA
rnacentral:lncRNA from 1 species